GCGAAAUUCAAUCAACUGGACACCUAAAUACCACAACUAUAUUUUAAGAAUCUCGUUCGUUCACAGAAGAAGUAAAAUUUUUGGAGAAGUAAUGGAUGUCUACCAAACAAUCGUCAAUAGAGCAAUUGAUUUUCGAGAAAACGG